UACGUAGGGGGCGAGCGUUGUCCGGAUUUACUGGGCGUAAAGCGCGUGUAGGCGGCUUCUUAAGUCGGGUGUGAAAGCCCGGGGCUCAACCCCGGGAUGCCGCCCGAGACUGGGAGGCUUGAGGUCGGAAGAGGGGAGUGGAAUUCCAGGUGUAGCGGUGAAAUGCGUAGAGAUCUGGAGGAACACCGGUGGCGAAGGCGGCAUCCUGGACCAACACUGACGCUGAGGAGCGAAAGCCAGGGGAGCAAACGGG
rnacentral:rRNA from 1 species